GACGAACGCUGGCGGCGUGCUUCAUACAUGCAAGUCGAACGAGAAGCUGACUUCGGUCAGUGGAAAGUGGCGGACGGGUGAGUAAUAUGUAGGAAAUCUGCCGUUAGGAGGGGGACAACAGAGGGAAACUUCUGCUAAUACCCCAUAUGAGCGUAGCUGAAAUGCUAUUCUUUAAAACUCCGGUGCCUAAAGAUGAGCCUGCAUCUGAUUAGCUAGUUGGUAGUGUAAUGGACUACCAAGGCGACGAUCAGUAGCUGGUUUGGGAGGAUGAUCAGCCACAAUGGGACUGAGGCACGGCCCAUACUCCUACGGGAGACAGCAGGAGGGAAUUUUGCGCAAGGGGCGAAAGCCUGACGCAGCAACGCCGCGUGAACGAUUAAGCCCUUCGGGGUGUAAAGUUCUGUCAGUGGGGACGAAACUUGACGGUACCCACAGAGGAAGCACCGGCUAACUCCGUG
rnacentral:rRNA from 1 species